rnacentral:rRNA from 1 species
GACGAACGCUGGCGGCGUGCUUAACACAUGCAAGUCGAACGGAAAGGCCCUGCUUUUGUGGGGUGCUCGAGUGGCGAACGGGUGAGUAACACGUGAGUAACCUGCCCUUGACUUUGGGAUAACUUCAGGAAACUGGGGCUAAUACCGGAUAGGGCUCCCGCUGCAUGGGGGGGGUUGGAAAGUUUCGGCGGUUGGGGAUGGACUCGCGGCUUAUCAGCUUGUUGGUGGGGUAGUGGCUUACCAAGGGUUUGACGGGUAGCCGGCCUGAGAGGGUGACCGGCCACAUUGGGACUGAGAUACGGCCCAGACUCCUACGGGAGGCAGCAGUGGGGAAUAUUGCACAAUGGGCGGAAGCCUGAUGCAGCAACGCCGCGUGCGGGAUGACGGCCUUCGGGUUGUAAACCGCUUUCGCCUGUGACGAAGCGUGAGUGACGGUAAUGGGUAAAGAAGCACCGGCUAACUACGUG